GAUGAACGCUGGCGGCGUGCCUAAUACAUGCAAGUCGAGCGAGCAGACGAGGAGCUUGCUCCUCUGACGUUAGCGGCGGACGGGUGAGUAACACGUGGAUAACCUACCUAUAAGACUGGGAUAACUUCGGGAAACCGGAGCUAAUACCGGAUAAUAUAUUGAACCGCAUGGUUCAAUAGUGAAAGACGGUUUUGCUGUCACUUAUAGAUGGAUCCGCGCCGCAUUAGCUAGUUGGUAAGGUAACGGCUUACCAAGGCGACGAUGCGUAGCCGACCUGAGAGGGUGAUCGGCCACACUGGAACUGAGACACGGUCCAGACUCCUACGGGAGGCAGCAGUAGGGAAUCUUCCGCAAUGGGCGAAAGCCUGUCGGAGCAACGCCGCGUGAGUGAUGAAGGUCUUCGGAUCGUAAAACUCUGUUAUUAGGGAAGAACAAAUGUGUAAGUAACUAUGCACGUCUUGACGGUACCUAAUCAGAAAGCCACGGCUAACUACGUG
rnacentral:rRNA from 1 species